GGAAAUAGCACAGGAAGUAGUCGAUGAGAUCUUGAGCAAGCACGCUCUUAAACUUAAACUCUGAGAUGUAAUCCUGCAAACACACACACACACAGACACACACAGACACACACACAGGUACACACACACACACACAGACACAGACACAGACACAGACACAGACACACACA